rnacentral:rRNA from 1 species
GAUGAACGCUAGCGGCAGGCUUAACACAUGCAAGUCGAGGGGCAGCAUAAUGGAUAGCAAUAUCUAUGGUGGCGACCGGCGCACGGGUGCGUAACGCGUAUGCAACCUACCUUUAACAGGGGGAUAACACUGAGAAAUUGGUACUAAUACCCCAUAAGCGCACGGUAUCGCAUGAUACAGUGUGAAAAACUCCGGUGGUAUAAGAUGGACCCGCGUCUGAUUAGCUUGUUGGUGAGGUAACGGCCCACCAAGGCGACGAUCAGUAGCCGGCCUGAGAGGGUGAACGGCCACAUUGGGACUGAGACACGGCCCAAACUCCUACGGGAGGCAGCAGUGGGGAAUAUUGCACAAUGGGGGAAACCCUGAUGCAGCGACGCCGCGCGAGUGAUGAAGUAUUUCGGUAUGUAAAACUCUAUCAGCAGGGAAGAUAAUGACGGUGCCUGACUAAGAAGCACCGGCUAAAUACGUGCCAGCAGCCG